rnacentral:rRNA from 1 species
AUUGAACGCUGGCGGCAGGCCUAACACAUGCAAGUCGAACGAGUGGCGGACGGGUGAGUAAUGUCUGGGAAACUGCCCGAUGAAGGGGAUUACCUCCUGGAAACGGAAGCUAAUACCGCAUACCAUCGAAUGUGCCCAGAUGGGAUUAGCUAGUAGGUGGGGUAACGGCUCACCUAGGCGACGAUCCCUAGCUGGGCUGAGAGGAUGACCAGCCACACUGGAACUGAGACACGGUCCAGACUCCUACGGGAGGCAGCAGUGGGGAAUAUUGCACAAUGGGCGCAAGCCUGAUGCAGCCAUGCCGCGUGUAUGAAGAAGGCCUUCGGGUUGUAAAGUACUUUCAGCGAGGAGGCGUUACUCGCAGAAGAAGCACCGGCUAACUCCGUGCCAGCAGCCGCGGUAAUAC